rnacentral:lncRNA from 1 species
ACUCACCGCUUAGAUCCUCCAAGGCAUUCCACUCAGAAAAUCACACGGCUGCUGCCCCCACUCCAAAAAAAGGGAGCUGAGAAAAACCCCCAUUUUCCUAUGGAUUUUCAAGCCAAAAAACAAUGGGCUCUGUGGACAGAUGUCACCCCUCCCCCAGGCCAUGCCCCUCACUGCCAGGCAGGGGAAGCAGAGGCGAAGGAGGAGGGCCCACUGCGCCCUAGGACUUGGGAAUAGCUCUCAGCACCACGGUGGUGGGCUCCAUUGUAUGUCUUCCAGGACAGGGGCCCCUUCUUCUGGAAAGUACCCCCUCCCUAGCACAAAUCAGAGUCCAGAUGUGAGCAGGCAUCAGUUCAGCUCUUCCCAAGCCGCAGUGUUUGAGCCAAUGAUGGUCACCUGGCCCCAGUGAAGGCCGUGAAGGCCCCUCUCUGUCCCUUUCUGGCAGUGAAGUCAUGAGGUACAAUAAGCAAAAGCUGCCAUCGUGCACAUUACCUGCCAUAGAGAGGAAGCUUAGCAAAGAGAUUUAGAUCAGUAUUCAGAGGAAGUUGAGGCGUGAGAAAAGAGAGAGCACGUGGCAGUGUUGGCUCCCAGUUGCAGGUGUCCAGGGUCACACAAAGCCCCCUUUUAAAAGCCCAGGCUGGUUUGACUUGCAUUUCUCUCUCUAGAAGCUCUCAAGUCCUUGUUGAAUAUGGCAGUGACUGGAUGCUGGCCAUCCUACCUGAACUAGACCAGCCGAGCCUCUGCUCUGGCCAAGCAAAUGGGAGGAGAUGGAGGGAGAAAAGAGGAAAUGGGAGAGACUGGGCCGGAAGAAGAACCCCUGUCCAAGGUGAUGGAGGGCGUCGGAACACAGAACACCUGUAGCAGUUUUGCAGAGGGCUUCCAAUUCUUUAUCAAGCCUGCACCCGACUCUUAGGUUAUACAGUCUUAGGCACAAGCAAUUAUCUGAAUAAUUGGAGUGUUUCUUAGAAGAGGUUUUAGGUGUCAGCAGCGAUGUCUGUUCAGACGGCACACUAGUGACAGAUCCUUGGAAAACUCCAUGCUCUAGAAGAAAAAGCCAAUCCUGACUUUUCACUUCGGAAUGUCUCAGCUCCCCACCUGACCCU